CACGUAGUUAGCCGGCGCUUCUUCUGCAGGUACCGUCACUUGCGCUUCUUCCCUGCUGAAAGAGGUUUACAACCCGAAGGCCGUCAUCCCUCACGCGGCGUCGCUGCAUCAGGCUUUCGCCCAUUGUGCAAUAUUCCCCACUGCUGCCUCCCGUAGAGUCUGGGCCGUGUCUCAGUCCCAGUGUGGCCGGUCGCCCUCUCAGGCCGGCUACCCGUCGACGCCUUGGUACGGCCGUUACCCCACCAACAAGCUGAUAGGCCGCGAGCCCAUCCCUCACCGAAAAACUUUCCAACACCCACCAUGCGAUGAGCGCUCAUAUCCGGUAUUAGACCCCGUUUCCAAGGCUUAUCCCGAAGUGAAGGGCAGGUUGCUCACGUGUUACUCACCCGUUCGCCACUGAUCCACCCAGCAAGCUGGGCUUCACCGUUCGACUUGCAUGUGUUAAGCACGCCGCCAGCGUCGUCCGUCGAGCCACGGAUCGAACUAC
rnacentral:rRNA from 1 species